rnacentral:rRNA from 1 species
UGGUGGAGUGAUUUGUCUGCUUAAUUGCGAUAACGAACGAGACCUUAACCUGCUAAAUAGCCAGGCUAGCUUUGGCUGGUCGCCGGCUUCUUAGAGGGACUAUCGGCUCAAGCCGAUGGAAGUCUGAGGCAAUAACA